GACAGAGGGUGCAAACGUUGCUCGGAAUCACUGGGCGUAAAGGGCGUGUAGGCGGGAAGGUAAGUCGGGCGUGAAAUCCCUGGGCUCAACCCAGGAACUGCACUCGAAACUACUUUUCUUGAGUGCCGGAGAGGAAAGCGGAAUACCUGGUGUAGAGGUGAAAUUCGUAGAUAUCAGGUGGAACACCAGUGGCGAAAGGCGGGCUUCU
rnacentral:rRNA from 1 species